rnacentral:rRNA from 1 species
CAAUAGCGUAUAUUUAAGUUGUUGCAGUUAAAAAGCUCGUAGUUGGAUUUCGGAUGGGAUUUGCCGGUCCGUCGUUACGAUGUGCACUGGCCAGUCCUAUCUUGUUGUCGGGGACUAGCUCCGUGGAUUCACUUCCUGGGACUAGGAGCUGACGAGGUUACUUUGAGUAAAUUAGAGUGUUCAAAGCAAGCCUACGCUCUGAAUACAUUAGCAUGGAAUAACACGAUAGGACUCUGGCUUAUCUUGUUGGUCUGUGAGACCAGAGUAAUGAUUAAGAGGGACAGUCGGGGACAUUCGUAUUUCAUUGUCAGAGGUGAAAUUCUUGGAUUUAUGAAAGACGAACUUCUGCGAAAGCAUUUGUCAAGGAUGUUUUCAUUAA